rnacentral:snoRNA from 1 species
CUCAUACCUAAACCCAAGAAUCACUCUAUUAUUGUGAUGAUUUAAACAGAUGCAAACAGCAAGCACAUCUUGUCACCUUUGCGAGGCAGUGGCUGUGCCCCUCACAGUAAAUUUGGAGGUUCUACAUCC